rnacentral:rRNA from 1 species
UGCAGUCGAACGCUGAAGCCUGGUGCUUGCACCGGGUGGAUGAGUGGCGAACGGGUGAGUAACACGUGAGUAACCUGCCCCUGACUUCGGGAUAAGCCCGGGAAACUGGGUCUAAUACCGGAUACGACUGCCGGACGCAUGUCUGGUGGUGGAAAGUUUUUUCGGUUGGGGAUGGGCUCGCGGCCUAUCAGUUUGUUGGUGAGGUAAUGGCUCACCAAGACGACGACGGGUAGCCGGCCUGAGAGGGCGACCGGCCACACUGGGACUGAGACACGGCCCAGACUCCUACGGGAGGCAGCAGUGGGGAAUAUUGCACAAUGGGGGAAACCCUGAUGCAGCGACGCAGCGUGCGGGAUGACGGCCUUCGGGUUGUAAACCGCUUUCAGCAGGGAAGAAGCGCAAGUGACGGUACCUGCAGAAGAAGUACCGGCUAACUACGUGCCAGCAGCCGCGGUAAUACGUAGGGUACGAGCGUUGUCCGGAAUUAUUGGGCGUAAAGAGCUCGUAGGUGGUUGGUCACGUCUGCUGUGGAAACGCAACGCUUAACGUUGCGCGUGCAGUGGGUACGGGCUGACUAGAGUGCAGUAGGGGAGUCUGGAAUUCCUGGUGUAGCGGUGAAAUGCGCAGAUAUCAGGAGGAACACCGGUGGCGAAGGCGGGACUCUGGGCUGUAACUGACACUGAGGAGCGAAAGCAUGGGGAGCGAACAGGAUUAGAUACCCUGGUAGUCCAUGCCGUAAACGUUGGGCACUNNNGUGGGGGGGCAUUCCACGUUCUCCGCGCCGNNNUAACGCAUUANNGCCCCGCCUGGGGAGUACGGUCGCAANGCUAAACUCAAAGGNNAUUGA